UGAACUGGAGGUUAAGACUCCUGUCCAGGGACUUUGGUUUCCUGCUGCCUCUAAAUCAACAGGCAAAGAAGGGAGUUACUCUGCUGGCAGAGAUGAUUGAUCCUGACUACCAAGGAGAAACUGACUACUCCACAGUGGAGCCCUCUUGAGACCUGUCGGCUGUCUGACCUUGAGAAAGUGGGUGGACUAUUUCUGGCUGAGAGUGGAAAGAGAAAUCGCAUGGGAAAGGAAAUCCUCACACGCGUGUCAGCUGAAAUUUGGAUGGUGAUGAAAUUCAGAUGAUUUAGAUGGACCAGCAUGGAUAUUUCCCUGGCAUAACUUGUUAUUUUACAUCUGUGGAGCAGCAGUGAGUUGAUUGUGUCUUCCUGAAGAUCAAGACUGAAUCAGCAGUUUGCUGUGGAGAGUGUUUCUGUGCACUGGAGAAGGAAGAGCACAUUUCUGUGUGCUGGAGGAGGGAGAGCACAGCAAUUGUGAAGCAUUGAAGUCAGUGCUGUGCUACUAUAGCAGAAAGAAAAACUGGACCAAACUCAGUUGCCACCAGCUCACAGAGAGAGCAUUUAAACCAGCCCUCGUGAGAGAGGAAUUGCUGAUCCCGCGGUCAGAACUGGAGUUCCCAGAGGCCUUGCCACUACAGACUAAAGUGCUCUGGGGCUCUAAAUAAACUUGAAAGGCAUUCUAGGCUGCAAUUCCAGGUGACUCCUAGUGCUGAACUGGGCCUGUAGCCAGACCACUGAAGGGACAUGCAACCUCCUGAGACACCAGUCAGUGUGGGGCUAAGGGGGUGUUGCCAUCACCCCUGCUCUAACCCCAGGCUACACAGCUCAUGGCUUCUAAUAAGAUCCCUCCCUACUGCUUGAGGAGAGGAGAGGGAAGAGUGUGGAGGACUUUAUCUUACAUCCUUGAUACUAGCUCAGCCAUAGCAGGACAAGGCACUAGUCAGAGUUGUGAGGCCGCCUUUCCAGGCCCUAGCUCCCAUAUGAUAUUCCUAGAUACAACCUGGGCCACAAGAGAACCUGCUGCCUUGAUGGGAAUGACCUAGUCCUGGCAGCAUUCAUCACCUGCUAACUGAAGAGUAUUUGGGCCUUGAAUAACCAGCAGUGAUACCUAGGUACUAGUCGAGGGCCUUGAGUGAAACUCUGAGACAUACGACUUCAGGUGAGACUCAACACAUUCCCAUCUAUGGUGACUAUGGGGCAAGACUCCCUCUGUUUGAGAAAAGAAGAGGGAAAAUAAAGGGGACUCUGUCUUUCACCAUAUGUACCAACUCAGCCAAAAUGAGGUAGAGGAUCAAGUGGGUUCUUGGGGCCCCUGAUUCCAGCACUUGACUCUUCUAUGGCAUUUCUGGACCUGUCCUCUGCCAGAGGGGAGCCCAGUGCCUUGAAGGGUAAGUCCCAGGCCAGGCAGCAUUUGCCACAGCUAUUUCCACAGGUUAAGCCCUUGGGACUUAAAGAAACAUAGGUGGCAGUCUGGCAGUACUCCUUGUGGCCUGUGGUGGCAGUGGCCAUGGGGUGAGUCUCCUCAGCCUUUGGAAAGUGAGGAGGAGAGUGGGAAAGACUGUGUCUUGUGGCUUGAGUGCCAGCCCAGCCUCAGUACAAUAGAACACCAGAUAGAAUUCUAAGAUUUUAGACUCUAGUCCCUGGCUUCUGGGCAGCACCUCUGUACCCACCCAGGUCCUAGGGAACUCACAGCCUUGAAGUGAAGGACACAGCCCUGGCUGAAUUUACCACCUGAUAAUUGCAGAGCCUGAAGGCCUUGAGAAAGCAUAGGCAGUAGCCAGGAAGUGGUUACAGGAGGUUUUGGGUGAGACCCAGCACUGUACUGGCCUCAAGUCAGAUCCAGAACAGAAUGGUGGUAGCCAAAAGGGUCCUUGUGUCACUCCACCCCCAGAUUCAAGUGGCUCAGAACAGAGUGAGAAGCCCCAUUUGUUUGGAAGAAAGUAAGGGAAGAGAACAAGAAUCUCUGCCUGUUAAUCCAGAGAAUUCUUUCAGAUCUUGUCUAAGAUCAUUAAGGCAGUGCCCCUACAAGUCUGCGAGAACCACAGUGUUACUACACUUGGGGUGCUCCCUAAAGCAGAUAUAACUUACAUCACAAAACCCAAGAAAUUUUUAAGAUCUGGGAAGUCUUUCCAAGGACCACAGGUACAAACAACCCUAGACUGUGACGACUACAAUACAUACAUAACUUCAUUGCCGAGACACAGAUGAACAUCUACAAGUAUCAAAACACUCCAGAAAAACAUGACCUCACUAAAUGAACUAAAUAAGGUACCAAUGACCAAUCCUGGAAAAGCAGAGAUAUAUGACCUUUCAGACAGAAAAUUCAAAACAGCUGUUUUCAGGAAACUCAAAAAAAUUUAAGAUACACAUAGAAAGUAUUCAGAAUUAUAUCAGAUACAUUUUACAAUCAGAUUGAAAUAGUUUAACAGAAUCAAGCAGAAAUUCUGGAGCUGACAAAUGCAAUUGGCAUACUGAAGAAUGCAUCAGAGUAUUU